GACGAACGCUGGUGGCGUGCCUAAUACAUGCAAGUCGAGCGGACCAAUAGAAGCUUGCUUCUGUUGGUUAGCGGCGGACGGGUGAGUAACACGUGGGCAACCUGCCUGUAAGACUGGGAUAACUUCGGGAAACCGGAGCUAAUACCGGAUAAUUCAUCCCCUCGCAUGAGGGGAUGCUGAAAGUCGGUUUACGCUGACACUUACAGAUGGGCCCGCGGCGCAUUAGCUAGUUGGUGAGGUAAUGGCUCACCAAGGCGACGAUGCGUAGCCGACCCGAGAGGGUGAUCGGCCACACUGGGACUGAGACACGGCCCAGACUCCUACGGGAGGCAGCAGUGGGGAAUCUUCCACAAUGGACGAAAGUCUGAUGGAGCAACGCCGCGUGAGCGAUGAAGGCCUUCGGGUCGUAAAGCUCUGUUGUUAGGGAAGAACAAGUAUCGGAGUAACUGCCGGUACCUUGACGGUACCUAACCAGAAAGCCACGGCUAACUACGUGCCAGCCGCCGCAGUAA
rnacentral:rRNA from 1 species